UUCUAUCAUAAACUUGUGGUUUUUUUCAUGGCUUCAGGCUGAGUCCUUGCAGAAUACUUUUGUCCCUUUCCGCAGAAUUGAUAUAAUAAUCAAUGCAGUUACUGCAGGCUCAAAGAUCCCAUGCUUCCUCUGAUGCUGGAACCCAGCUCCCCCUAUCCAGUGGAGAUGUCUUCAUUCUGUUGGCUUUAUUUCUUCAAAAUUUGGGUAAGUACAAAGCAGUGUAAUAAUAAGAACUAGGAAAUUCAGUGAUAACUAUAGUACCUUUACCAACAUCUAAUUCAUUCAACCAUUCACUUGAAAUACUUGAAGUUCAAAAAGGAGGUUGUGUGAAUAGUAAAAUUAUGCAAGUCUGUAGUAGGUUUAGUGUCUCUAUUGUUUAAAGCAAUUAACAAAAUUAAGUUGCUUGCAUGAGAUGAGAUUGAUAACUAAAUGCAAUAAAUGAUAAUAUUUGGUUAUGGAAAUGCAGAAAGGACUGCAAGCAAACUCCUAUGUGGAGGGACUAGGGAGGUCAGGUCUUUUAAGUUCUGAUAAUUCGAGUCCACAGACAAGAUGAUCCCCGACCUCAGGUACUGUUUGUUUUAUACUGAAUAAAAUUUCCAGUACCCCUUGGGUAGGUUGGAACUGACUGUCUUCAUUUAGUACCUCUUAUAGACUAUAAUUAUUCUCAGUACCUCCUGCUGUACCGCUCACAUUUAAUCUAAAAGCAUUUACAAUGGCAUUGGGAUUUUCAAGCUGAUGGGUGGGAUAUAUGCUUUGUUUUCUAUCGCAAUCCAAUUAAUUUCAGAUGAAUUCAUCAUAAGAUCAUUCAACCAUAGUCCAGCUAGAGAAAUCGAACCAUUUGCAGAACAACAUUUUAUGUCAGAGGAUUAUCUAACAAUGAGAAUGCAUCGUCAAGAAAACUCUGCACCCAUUGUCGGAUUGAUGAUGUUUUACCAAAGCUGGGUACUUUCUUUUCACUUAUCUCAAGUAGAUUCUCAUCAGUUGACCUUUGUAAUCUUUGAGGGGCUUGAUUAUUCACUUGCUAGUUUGGCCACAUUAUACUUUGGCAUGGGAGACUAUUACCUUAAUGACUUAAUCUUUUUGGGGUAUGAAAGAGAAGUUAAGAGUGGACGUGACCUCGAGUUCCAUUCCAUGGAAACAUUGGAAAUGACUCUGAGUGGCUUGUUAACAUCGAACUGGUAAAUUUUGACUUUUGUAAAACUUAGAUUAGCAGUUAGUUGAAAGCUUCAUAAUAUAUUGCUUUCAACUUUCUUGGUUUGUCUAAUAUACUAAGGUCAUUGCCUAGUAAAGCAGUUGAGUCAUCUCUUCGAGUGGUUGGAGUUGAUCAAAUGUAUUUUAGGAAGCUAUGGGAGGUUGUGAUCAUGAGCUGUAACGUGAGGAAGUUCCCCACCAAAUUGUCUCUUUGGUUGUACCUAGGAUGGUUGUGGUGUAUUUCAGGUGGUUAAUUGGUGGUGGAAUUGAUACUAACAUCAUUCAUCAUGUGGAUUAUGAUAAUUCUUGUGGCUUGCAUCGAAGACUGUUCUGUUAUGCCAUCUAGAAAUCCAAUCAAAUUUCAGGUUCUGUCAUGAAAAGUCGAUGAAGAGAAAUUGAACCUUCUGCAAAACAGCACUCUAUGUCAGAGGACUAUCGAGAAAUGAUAAUGCACCAUGAAGAAAACUCUAGCAGACAUUGAACAUCUGCAAAACAGCACUCUAUAUCAGAGGGU